rnacentral:rRNA from 1 species
UAGAGUUUGAUCAUGGCUCAGAUUGAACGCUGGCGGCAUGCCUUACACAUGCAAGUCGAACGGUAACAGGUCUUCGGAUGCUGACGAGUGGCGAACGGGUGAGUAAUACAUCGGAACGUGCCCGAUCGUGGGGGAUAACGGAGCGAAAGCUUUGCUAAUACCGCAUACGAUCUACGGAUGAAAGCAGGGGACCGCAAGGCCUUGCGCGGACGGAGCGGCCGAUGGCAGAUUAGGUAGUUGGUGGGAUAAAAGCUUACCAAGCCGACGAUCUGUAGCUGGUCUGAGAGGACGACCAGCCACACUGGGACUGAGACACGGCCCAGAUUCCUACGGGAGGCAGCAGUGGGGAAUAUUGGACAAUGGGCGAAAGCCUGAUCCAGCCAUGCCGCGUGUGUGAAGAAGGUCUUCGGAUUGUAAAGCACUUUAAGUUGGGAGGAAGGGCAGUAACCUAAUACGUUGCUGUCUUGACGUUACCGACAGAAUAAGCACCGGCUAACUACGUGCCAGCAGCCGCGGUAAU